AGUUUGAUCCUGGCUCAGAUUGAACGCUGGCGGCAGGCCUAACACAUGCAAGUCGAGCGGUAGAGAGAAGCUUGCUUCUCUUGAGAGCGGCGGACGGGUGAGUAAAGCCUAGGAAUCUGCCUGGUAGUGGGGGAUAACGUUCGGAAACGGACGCUAAUACCGCAUACGUCCUACGGGAGAAAGCAGGGGACCUUCGGGCCUUGCGCUAUCAGAUGAGCCUAGGUCGGAUUAGCUAGUUGGUGAGGUAAUGGCUCACCAAGGCGACGAUCCGUAACUGGUCUGAGAGGAUGAUCAGUCACACUGGAACUGAGACACGGUCCAGACUCCUACGGGAGGCAGCAGUGGGGAAUAUUGGACAAUGGGCGAAAGCCUGAUCCAGCCAUGCCGCGUGUGUGAAGAAGGUCUUCGGAUUGUAAAGCACUUUAAGUUGGGAGGAAGGGCAUUAACCUAAUACGUUAGUGUUUUGACGUUACCGACAGAAUAAGCACCGGCUAACUCUGUGCCAGCAGCCGCGGUAAUACAGAGGGUGCAAGCGUUAAUCGGAAUUACUGGGCGUAAAGCGCGCGUAGGUGGUUUGUUAAGUUGGAUGUGAAAUCCCCGGGCUCAACCUGGGAACUGCAUUCAAAACUGACUGACUAGAGUAUGGUAGAGGGUGGUGGAAUUUCCUGUGUAGCGGUGAAAUGCGUAGAUAUAGGAAGGAACACCAGUGGUGAAGGCGACCACCUGGACUAAUACUGACACUGAGGUGCGAAAGCGUGGGGAGCAAACAGGAUUAGAUACCUGGUAGUCCACGCCGUAACGAUG
rnacentral:rRNA from 1 species